GAUCCUGGCUCAGGAUGAACGCUGGCGGCGUGCUUAACACAUGCAAGUCGAGCGAAGCAAUCUAAGUGAAGUUUUCGGAUGAAUCUUGGAUUGACUGAGCGGGCGGACGGGUGAGGUAACGCGUGGAUAACCUGCCUCACACAGGGGGAUAACAGUUAGAAAUGACUGCUAAUACCGCAUAAGCGCACAGUACCGCAUGGUACAGUGUAGAAAACUCCGGUGGU
rnacentral:rRNA from 1 species